rnacentral:rRNA from 1 species
AUUGAACGCUGGCGGCAGGCCUAACACAUGCAAGUCGAACGGUAGCACAGAGAGCUUGCUCUCGGGUGACGAGUGGCGGACGGGUGAGUAAUGUCUGGGAAACUGCCCGAUGGAGGGGGAUAACUACUGGAAACGGUAGCUAAUACCGCAUAACGUCGCAAGACCAAAGUGGGGGACCUUCGGGCCUCACACCAUCGGAUGUGCCCAGAUGGGAUUAGCUAGUAGGUGGGGUAAUGGCUCACCUAGGCGACGAUCCCUAGCUGGUCUGAGAGGAUGACCAGCCACACUGGAACUGAGACACGGUCCAGACUCCUACGGGAGGCAGCAGUGGGGAAUAUUGCACAAUGGGCGCAAGCCUGAUGCAGCCAUGCCGCGUGUAUGAAGAAGGCCUUCGGGUUGUAAAGUACUUUCAGCGGGGAGGAAGGCGGUGAAGUUAAUAGCUUCACCGAUUGACGUUACCCGCAGAAGAAGCACCGGCUAACUCCGUGCCAGCAGCCGCCGCCG